rnacentral:sRNA from 2 species
AUUUAGCCCAGGAAUCGCUCUUCCUCCACCCACAGAUCAGUGCUGCUUCCCUCGGGGGACAGACCCAGAUCCUGGGGUCCCUCACUACAGCUCCAGUCAUUACCAGCGCCAUUCCCAGCAUGCCAGGGAUCAGCAGUCAGAUCCUCACCAAUGCUCAGGGACAGGUUAUUGGAACCCUUCCAUGGGUAGUGAACUCAGCUAGUGUGG